rnacentral:sRNA from 1 species
UUGCGACUCAAGUCCUCAACGUCUCUGCCACGGCCCA